rnacentral:rRNA from 1 species
GACGUAGGGGGCCAGCGUUGUUCGGAAUUACUGGGUGUAAAGGGUUCGUAGGCGGUGCGGCAAGUUGGGAGUGAAAUCUCUGGGCUUAACCCAGAGGCUGCUUCCAAAACUGCUGUGCUUGAGUGUGGGAGAGGCGCGUGGAAUUGCAGGUGUAGCGGUGAAAUGCGUAGAGAUGUGGAGGAAUACCGAUGGCGAAGGCAGCCCCCUGGUCAUAUACUGACGCUGAGGCACGAAAGCGUGGGGAGCAAACAGG